rnacentral:rRNA from 1 species
UACGUAGGGUGCAAGCGUUAAUCGGAAUUACUGGGCGUAAAGCGUGCGCAGGCGGUUAUAUAAGACAGUUGUGAAAUCCCCGGGCUCAACCUGGGAACUGCAUCUGUGACUGUAUAGCUAGAGUACGGUAGAGGGGGAUGGAAUUCCGCGUGUAGCAGUGAAAUGCGUAGAUAUGCGGAGGAACACCGAUGGCGAAGGCAAUCCCCUGGACCUGUACUGACGCUCAUGCACGAAAGCGUGGGGAGCAAACGAGG